CCAGCGUGCCAGAUGCACCCCAUCUAUAUCUGAUGCCAUGGUCUCUCAGCUGCCGGGUGAUUGGCAUGAACCUUCUCCUCUCUAGCAGAGUUGCAAAUGGUAAGUCGUCGAAUACCUUGAUGUGUAGGUUAUCCACUGUGGCGGUGGGUGUCUUUCUGGAGGCAGCCAUAAUCGCCGCUUUUACCGUAAUGUCUCGUGUGAUUGCAAUAAUGUCCC